rnacentral:antisense_RNA from 1 species
CUUCACCGAGCCCAGGUACAGCGGCUGCUCCCGGUCCUGCCCGUACGUUGCGAGCAGGGCCUGGGCCUC